UCUCUAGGGAUUUGGAGCGCGACAAAAAUAGAACAUAAACAACGACACGCGUCACACGCGGAUAUGCGCGCGGACGGCGUACACUGCUCGCGCUGAACGGCUCUUUUCAGGAGUUUUCACAAGACAAAGAAGUCUCGAGCGAACAAGUGUCGACUCGCGCUAGCAAGAACUUUCCAUCCCCGCUUUGAUGUGUUCUGGAGGUGAAGCACAACACUGAAGGGCCUAAUUGGCAACUCAGUACUGAAGACCACAGCCUGAUGCUCACCAUGCACCACAAAAUCCUGAAGUACGUGGGCCAGCCCUUUGACCACGCCCCACUGCGCCUCCGCUGUCAGAAUGAGGAUUACGUCACGCUGGACUCCAGCUGGUCCAGCUUCAUCAACCCCUGGAGUCGCAAAGUGGCCUUCAUCAUCGGCAGACACAAAGUCCGCACGUAAGCAGGCACCCAGCCAUACACGCCUGUUCUCGCACACCUGCUGAGACGCCGUCUGGACAUACUGCUCAAGGGGGCCCUUGAACGAAGGCAUGUUUGCAAAGUGUAACAGGACAGAUCUUCCCAUGAUGCACAAGGACAUAAAGAGCUGUAGGCCGUGAUCUACAAACUGUAGUUGAGACACUGGUACUGGUGGUACUGGUGUUUUGUUGUUCAGAUUUCUCCUAGUUUUCCUCAGGAGAAGAGGAGAUGAGUGGAACAUGUGUGUGCCCACAGUGGUCAGGGUUAAGGGUCAGGGCCACUUUGGCCAAUCCUUCAAAAUUUGCUGACCCCCUGACCCCUGAUUCUCUCCUCACUCUCUCCCCAGCUGGUCCACACCAGCUGGGCAGUAACGGCGUGGCAUCGUCCAGUGACAGCAACGGUAACCUAUGGGAGGACACAUACAAGGAGCGUGUACUAUACUGGAGCUACCUGUAGUCUCGGAGGAACCUCUCACCUGUUGGGAAAGUCACUACAGGUACAGAAGAGGGACAUAAUUAGUACCGAACUACUAACGGUGGUAAAAUAUUACGCUCGCUCCAGCAUGGGCUCCGACGCCUCAGGCAGCAGUUCCGGAGAGUCCAGAGGUUCCCUGGGCUGAAAUGGCACCUCCACCAGCCAUGCAGGUACCGACCCACACGCGGGUUCCAACCCACAGACAGGGGCAGGUCAGAUGCCAUUUGAGGAGAACGGAACAUCCGUGUCCUUUGGUACUCCGCCGUUCUCCGAACUGCAGAAGUCCUUGAUUCCGAUCUUCUGAUGAGGUAAAGUCCAAUGCUUAGCCAAUCAGCUUCCUCUCUGACCCCCCAGUUCCUGUGUGUGUGAGUGUGUGAGAGUGUGAUUGGGCAUGGCCUCUAUUCCACGUGCGUGUGUAUCGCUGUGCAGGGGCCCGGCGCAGGUUCUGGAGGAAGACCAGGCCAAACUGUCAGUUCUACAGCCUCUGCAGCCCUGGUUCUCCCAGGAGCAGAGAGUGGAACCAGGACAGGUGUGUUUAUGGCUCCGCCCCCACAUCUCCCCCAAGGAGGUCAGCAUGCAGGGGUGGAGCUCCACACACACACGCCUCACACACACACAUGCACUCCACACACGUGCCAGACACACGCCACACUCGUGCCACGCACACGCGACACACACUCCACACACUCUUGACCUGCUGGAGAAUGUCUUGGCCGAGUGGUUGGCCCAGAGUCAGGUUGUUAACAUGCUGAAGGAGGCGUGUGUGUGUGUGUCUCUGUUUAUGGCAUUUGGCAGACUCUCUUAAACAGGCUUAGAUAUUUGAGAGUGUGACGGUGCGUGUGAGUGUGUCGGUAUGUGUGAGUGUGAGUGUGACCGGAUGUGUGCUCAACACUCAGAGAUGUUUAUAGCAGCAGACAGUAUCUGUGCUCGAUGGUUAGCGGCCUUGUUUCUGCACACGUUCAUUCAAAAGGAUGUUCGGAGUGUGUAACUUGCGUUUCUGGAAAGAGUUCCAAAGUGUGACCUUUGACACGAGAAACGUUUCUUUAGCCUUUGACGUGAGACACGUUUCUUCAGCUUUUGCUCAUUUUUUGCUCACAAAACAUAACACAAGUGUUUGACUUUUCAUCUGUUUACCCCUCGUGACCCUUGUGAUGUGUCCCUCCCCCAUGUAUCUGCGGACUGUCUGUCUCUUCUCCCAUGUUUUGUUUUGUUCACGCCACUGUGGAGGACAGCAGUGUGCCAACACACUCUCAGCCCCGCCCACUCAAGACAGCCCCGCCUCCAACACCUGACUCCCCUCCCCCUCUCACGGCACUCCCACGCUUAGACCGCUUGCCAUCCCCGCCCCUUCACCAUUGGUUCAGAUAGGAGGCGGAGUCGAGAGGACUCUGCCUCUGACUUUGGUUUUUACUUCAUUUGUUCAAGCACUGUGCCAGAUGAACCAUGGGUGUGUCUCCUCCUCAGCUUAUUCUCUGCCCACACUUCUAUGGUUAGUCAGUCAUGUUGCUGCAUUCUGAUUGGCUGAUCUGUUUGAGACUUAAGAGGCGGGGCCAAUUC